CCUGGAGAGUGUCAGAGCCUCCGUCUCCCUGCCCUGGCCCAAGGCUUCCCAAGCUCUGCCGCCCACCGCCCACCGGUCGAGCCCCUCACCCUUCGCCAGUUCCCUGCCUUCACCUUUCUCUCCUCCACCUCCAAGCUCAGCUCAAGCACAGCCACCUCUUCCAGGAAGCCUUCCUGGGUCUCCUGCCCAGCUGAAAGGAAUUCUCCCAGCUCCUCCACACUCAGCACAGCCGGGCUCCCCAGGACUGGUGAAGGCCACUGAGAAUUCUAGAAGGUUCAAGGCAGAAAGGCCUCACCCCACGGGAUGAACGGACACACACAGCGCGGCCCGUCCACACACUGGAGCAUCACUCAGCCGUGAAAGGAACGAGGCUCUGACACACGCUGCCACGUGGAUGGACCUGGAACACGUCACGCUCAGUGACAGACGCCAGACACCAAAGGCCACACAGUGUGUGACUCCAUUUACACGAAACGUCAAGAACAGGCCAAUCCACAGAGACAGAACGGGGACUCCUGGUUGCUGGGGAUUGGGUUGAGGUGUGACUGCUGAUGCGGACGGGGUUGCUUUUUGGGGUGAUGAGAAUGUUCUGGAACUAGACAGUGAUGGCUGUACAACUCACUGAAUAUACUAAAAACCACUGAAUUGUGCACUUGAAACAAAUGGAUUAUGUGGUAUGUGAACUACAUCUCAAUAAAGCUGUUAAGGAAAUAUA